GGGGAGCAAGAUGAAGUCACAGACCCAGGUCCUCAUAUCCCUGCUGCUUUGGGUGUCCGGUAAGUGUGCAGACAUCAUGAUGACCCAGUCUUCAUCCUCCCUGGCUGUGUCAGCAGGAGAUAAGGUCACCAUCAGCUGCAAAUCCAGUCAGAGACUUACUUUAGGCAGCUUAAACUACUUGGUUUGGUACCAGCAGAAACCAGGGCAAUCCCCUAAACUACUGAUCUACUGGGCAUCCACUAGGCAAACUGGGGUUCCUGAUCGCUUCACAGGCAGUGGAUCUGGGACAGAUUUCACUCUCAGCAUCAGCAGUGUGCAGGCUGAAGACCUGGCAGUUUAUUACUGUCAGCAGUAUGGCAGUACUCCUCCCACAGUACUUCAGCCUCCAACAAAAAUCUGCUUGAGAGUCUCACCAGCUGCCUGCACCACACACAGCCCUGGACUUACCCACUUCCCCUUUCUGCAUGAUAGUAGGUGUGCCUGA